rnacentral:rRNA from 2 species
AACGACUCUCGACAACGGAUAUCUCGGCUCUCGCAUCGAUGAAGAACGUAGCGAAAUGCGAUACUUGGUGUGAAUUGCAGAAUCCCGUGAACCAUCGAGUCUUUGAACGCAAGUUGCGCCCGAAGCCACUCGGCUGAGGGCACGCCUGCCUGGGUGUCACAC